AAUGAACGUUGGCGGCGUGGAUUAGGCAUGCAAGUCGAGCGAGAACCCGCAAGGGGGACAGCGGCGAACGGGGUAGGAAUACGUAGGUAACGUACCCUCGGGGCGAGGACAGCCACGGGAAACUGUGGGUAAUACUCGAUAAACUUCCCAAUCAUUAUGGAAGGGGAAGCAAUGGGUGUGAUUCCACCUGAGGAGCGGCUUACGCAGUAUCAGCUAGUUGGUGAGGUAACGGCUCACCAAGGCUACGACGCUUAGGGGGUGUGAGAGCAUGGCCCCCACCACUGGCACUGAGACACUGGCCAGACACCUACGGGUGGCUGCAGUCGAGAAUCUUCGGCAAUGGACGCAAGUCUGACCGAGCGACGCCGCGUGUGGGAUGAAGGCCUUCGGGUUGUAAACCACUGUCAGAGGGGAGUGAAGUGUACGAGAGUUAUCUCUUGUAUUUGUACAGAGCCUCAGAGGAAGCACGGGCUAAGUUCGUGCCAGCAGCCGCGGUAAU
rnacentral:rRNA from 1 species